UACGGAGGGUGCGAACGUUAAUCGGAAUUACUGGGCGUAAAGCGCACGUAGGCGGUUCGUUAAGUGGAGUGUGAAAUCCCUGGGCUUAACCUGGGCACUGCAUUUCAGACUGACGAGCUCGAGUCUGGUAGAGGGAGGUGGAAUUCCCUGUGUAGCGGUGAAAUGCGUAGAUAUAGGGAGGAACACCGGUGGCGAAGGCGGCCUCCUGGACCAAGACUGACGCUGAGGUGCGAAAGCGUGGGGAGCAAACAGG
rnacentral:rRNA from 1 species